rnacentral:lncRNA from 1 species
CGCAGAGGGAAGUGGAAGGCCGCCCAGGUGGGGCCGGGUGGACCUAGAGGGGUGCGUUUUGGGGACUGAAACUAGGUGCGUCUGGCUUUGGAUUGUUGUAGGAAGGAGAGCGUCCGACCCGUUUGAGACAAUGUCUUGCUAAAUUCUUGAGGCUGGACUCCAACUUGCAGCUCUCCUGCCUUGGCCUCUGAAGUCAUUGGGAUUGCAGAAAGGUGGAUACCACAAUGCUGAAUUUGCGGAACCUGUUUGAGCAGCUUGUGCGCCGGGUGGAGAUUCUCAGUGAAGGAAAUGAACUCCAAUUCAUCCAGUUGGCAAAGGACUUUGAGGAUUUCCGGAAGAAAUGGCAGAGAACAGACCAUGAGCUGGGGAAAUACAAGGAUCUUUUGAUGAAAGCAGAAACUGAGCGUAGUGCUCGAUGUUAAGCUAAAGCAUGCACGAAAUCAAGUGGAUGUAGAGAUUAAAC